GACGAACGCUGGCGGCGUGCUUAACACAUGCAAGUCGAACGGAAAGGCCCUGCUUUUGUGGGGUGCUCGAGUGGCGAACGGGUGAGUAACACGUGAGUAACCUGCCCUUGACUUUGGGAUAACUUCAGGAAAUUGGGGCUAAUACCGGAUAGGAGCUCCUGCUGCAUGGUGGGGGUUGGAAAGUUUCGGCGGUUGGGGAUGGACUCGCGGGUUAUCAGCUUGUUGGUGGGGUAGUGGCUUACCAAGGCUUUGACGGGUAGCCGGCCUGAGAGGGUGACCGGCCACAUUGGGACUGAGAUACGGCCCAGACGGCUACGGGAGGCAGCAGUGGGGAAUAUUGCACAAUGGGCGGAAGCCUGAUGCAGCAACGCCGCGGGCGGGAUGACGGCCUUCGGGUUGUAAACCGCUUUCGCCUGUGACGAAGCGUGAGUGACGGUAAUGGGUAAAGAAGCACCGGCUAACUACGUG
rnacentral:rRNA from 1 species